AUAUGAUGAAAUUUCUUUUUAUUGAUUAAAGAUAGAAAAUAAUUUGUAUUAUUUUUUAGGGAAGCGAUACUUCAGCUAAUACGCUUACAUUUUUAUUUUUAAUGCUUACCACGUUUCCGGACAUUCAAUUCACGAAGAGUUGUACAAUAARYACGGUUCAAGCGGUACAAAAGAUAUUCCUAUUACAAUGGAAGAUACUAAGAAAAUGUAAUAUUUAGAACGAGUCAUCAAGGAGACUUUACAUCUUUUUCCUCCCGGC